GCCAGGGGGAGAGGGGGAGGGGAGCGGUGGUCCCGCUCCACCCCUAGUCUAGCCCUGCUCCAAGCCCGGCAGAGGGAGACUGGGGCGGCCCUGAGGAACGCCCUACACCCCCUCCUAAAGUUGAUCAACCUCUCCUCCCCUCCACCGUUCCCCUAGCCUACUCACCUCCCCACUCCGUUCUUUCCCAGAGAAGCGCAGCCGCUGCGCUCCGGCCGGUUCAGCAGGAUCAAUAACCAAAGUGCGCAAAGAAGGCGACCUCGGAGAGACCUAGCAGAGAACAGGAGAUAUGUGCAACCAUCACUACUGUCAAUUUUAGAACAUUUUCAUCACCUCAAAAAGAAAUCUCGAUCCCCCAGCCUUCUAUCUCCUCAAACCCCCAGCCCUAAGCAACCACUAAUCUACUCUCUGUCUCUAUGGAUUUCCCUAUCCUGGAUACUUCAUAUAAAUGGAAUCAUAUCAUCUGUGGUUUUCGUGCCUAGCUUCUUUUAUUAGCAUAAUGUUUCAAAUUUCAUCCAUGUUGUAGCGUGUAUCAGUACUUCAUUUCUUUUUCUGACUGAAGAAUAUUUCAUUGUAUGAUUAGCUCACUUUUUG
rnacentral:lncRNA from 10 species